AGCGAACGCUGGCGGCAGGCUUAACACAUGCAAGUCGAGCGGGCACCUUCGGGUGUCAGCGGCAGACGGGUGAGUAACACGUGGGAACGUACCCUUUGGUUCGGAACAACUCUGGGAAACUGGAGCUAAUACCGGAUACGCCCUUAUGGGGAAAGGUUUACCGCCGAAGGAUCGGCCCGCGUCUGAUUAGCUAGUUGGUGGGGUAACGGCCCACCAAGGCGACGAUCAGUAGCUGGUCUGAGAGGANGAUCAGCCACACUGGGACUGAGACACGGCCCAGACUCCUACGGGAGGCAGCAGUGGGGAAUAUUGGACAAUGGGCGCAAGCCUGAUCCAGCCAUGCCGCGUGAGUGAUGAAGGCCUUAGGGUUGUAAAGCUUCUUUUGUCCGGGACGAUAAUGACGGUACGGAAGAAUAAGCCCGGCUAACUUCGUGCCAGCAGCCGCAGUAAU
rnacentral:rRNA from 1 species